AGAAAUCUAGAAUCCAGGUGGCAGCAGGACCACCCUCCUUACAAAGUCUCUAUAGGAGAGUCUCAAGGGGAGAAACACGAAACCUCAUGAAACUCUAUGCAGGAAAACACCUGACCAGAAGACAAGGUUAUUGUCAGGUCCAGAGGAAACCCCACUUCCCCAAAUUCCAAAAGGCAGCACCCAGAAAUGACCGUCUUGACUCAGGGUCUGCUGAAGUAUAGGAUUACUGAAGGAUACUGCCAGCGUUCCUGAGGAACCCAUGAAAGAGUUUCUGUCCACCAGAAAGAGGGCCAGAUAUUGAUCUCCUGCAGCUCCUCCUGGUGGAUCUUGAGGUUCCUUUAAAGCACCUCCACUCCUGGAACCUUCCCUGGCUCCACUAUCGAACUGCUGGGUGGGGAUCCGUUCCUGCUAUUACCCUCUUCUACUGAGAUGGGCAGCAAGACAGGACAGCACAGCUGCUCAGUGCAGUUCAGAAGAUGGGGAAGUUCCAGCAAGGAAAAGCAAGAAGCUCCCGAGGAGACAGUCAAUAUUCUAGUCUAGAAGAUCAGAGACCGAAGCUGGCAUCCUGUGUUGCUGAAUUGAGGAACUAGUACUGAAUUUUGCACCUCAGCUCUACCACAACCCAGUCCCAUCUGAACAUGGCAAAUACUUCAUCCAAAAGAAUACUGUCGAUAAAAAAAAAUCUAAGCAAUGACAUAACCCCAGAUAUAUAAAUCCCAGCAUAAGAAUCAUGGAAAACCAAGGCUAUGUUAAAUCUUGUAAAAAUUACUAAUCCUACAGCAUUCUCCCCAAUCUUAGUAAGUUAGAUUAUAUGCUAAUAAAGUCUUCAAAGA
ensembl:antisense Gm15848 predicted gene 15848